rnacentral:rRNA from 1 species
GAUGAACGCUGGCGGCGUGCCUAAUACAUGCAAGUCGAGCGAACAGACGAGGAGCUUGCUCCUCUGACGUUAGCGGCGGACGGGUGAGUAACACGUGGAUAACCUACCUAUAAGACUGGGAUAACUUCGGGAAACCGGAGCUAAUACCGGAUAAUAUAUUGAACCGCAUGGUUCAAUAGUGAAAGACGGUUUUGCUGUCACUUAUAGAUGGAUCCGCGCCGCAUUAGCUAGUUGGUAAGGUAACGGCUUACCAAGGCAACGAUGCGUAGCCGACCUGAGAGCGUGAUCCGCCACACUGGAACUGAGACACGGUCCAGACUCCUACGGGAGGCAGCAGUAGGGAAUCUUCCGCAAUGGGCGAAAGCCUGACGGAGCAACGCCGCGUGAGUGAUGAAGGUCUUCGGAUCGUAAAACUCUGCUAUUAGGGAAGAACUAAUGUGUAAGUAACUAUGCACGUCUUGACGGUACCUAAUCAGAAAGCCACGGCUAACUACGUG